CCCUGGUUAGAUGAGUUGGUAGAGCGCUCCACUGGAAAUGGAGAGGUCCCGUGUUCGAUGCCUGGACCAGGCG
rnacentral:tRNA from 1 species